rnacentral:rRNA from 1 species
UGGGGAAUCUUGGACAAUGGGCGAAAGCCUGAUCCAGCCAUGCCGCGUGUGUGAAGAAGGUCUUCGGAUUGUAAAGCACUUUAAGUUGGGAGGAAGGGCCAUUACCUAAUACGUGAUGGUUUUGACGUUACCGACAGAAUAAGCACCGGCUAACUCUGUGCCAGCAGCCGCGGUAAUACAGAGGGUGCAAGCGUUAAUCGGAAUUACUGGGCGUAAAGCGCGCGUAGGUGGUUUGUUAAGUUGGAUGUGAAAUCCCCGGGCUCAACCUGGGAACUGCAUUCAAAACUGACUGACUAGAGUAUGGUAGAGGGUGGUGGAAUUUCCUGUGUAGCGGUGAAAUGCGUAGAUAUAGGAAGGAACACCAGUGGCGAAGGCGACCACCUGGACUGAUACUGACACUGAGGUGCGAAAGCGUGGGGAGCAAACAGGAUUAGAUACCCAUGUAGUCCCUGAGCGGGCUGGCAAGGCGCAU